rnacentral:misc_RNA from 1 species
GAUGAAGAACGCAGCGAAAUGCGAUAAGUAAUGUGAAUUGCAGAAUUCAGUGAAUCAUCGAAUCUUUGAACGCAUCUUGCGCUCCUUGGUAUUCUGAGGAGCAUGCCUGUUUGAGUGUCAUUAAAUUCUCAACUACACUGACUUUGAAUUGGUGUGGCUUGGAUUUGGGGGGAAAAUUGUUGUGGGCUUUUUGUAUAGUCUGCUCCCCUGAAAUUGAUUAGCGGUACCUUUGUGGAACUGUCUACAGGUGUGAUAAUUAUCUACAUCUUAGAUAUCUGCUGGAAUGCUGCUUUCUAAACCUUACUUGUAUUGACAAUCUUGACCUCAAAUCAGGUAGGACUACCCGCUGAACUUAAGCAUAUCAAUAAGCGGAGGA